GGAAGCGCGUCUCGGACUGGUGCCGGGCUCGGUCUUCAAAACCGAUGUAGCCGCGCGCGAGCGUCGGUUAGGUGGGUUCGAUUCCCAUGCGCUUCCGCCA
rnacentral:tRNA from 1 species